UACGAAGGGGGCUAGCGUUGCUCGGAAUCACUGGGCGUAAAGCGCACGUAGGCGGAUCUUUAAGUCAGAGGUGAAAUCCCAAGGCUCAACCUUGGAACUGCCUUUGAUACUGGGGAUCUCGAGUCCGGAAGAGGAGAGUGGAAUUCCUGGUGUAGCGGUGAAAUGCGCAGAUAUCAGGAAGAACACCCGUGGCGAAGGCGGCUCUCUGGGACGGUACUGACGCUGAGACGCGAAAGCGUGGGGAGCGAACAGG
rnacentral:rRNA from 1 species